rnacentral:rRNA from 1 species
GCAAAGGUAGCAUAGUCAUUAGUUCUUUAAUUGUGAUCUGGUAUGAAUGGCUUGACGAGGCAUGGGCUGUCUUAAUUUUGAAUUGUUUAUUGAAUUUGGUCUUUGAGUUAAAAUUCUUAGAUGUUUUUAUGGGACGAGAAGACCCUAUAGAGUUUAACAUUUGUUAUGGUCCCUCUUCUGUUUGUGAGGGUUCAUUGGGCCGUUUAAUAUGUUUUGUUGGGGUGAUGGGAGGGAUUAAUUUAACCCCUCCUUUUUAUUAUUAUAUUUAUUUAUAUUUACUUGAUCCAUUUAUUUUGAUUGUAAGAUUAAAUUACCUUAGGGAUAACAGCGUUAUCUUCCUUGAGAGUUCUUAUCGGCAGGGGGGUUUGCG